ACGGAGGGUGCGAGCGUUAUUCGGAAUAACUGGGCGUAAAGCGCGUGUAGGCGGUUUUGCAAAUCUGAUGUGAAAGCCCCGGGCUUAACCUGGGAAGUGCAUUGGAAACUGCCGGACUUGAGUACUGGAGAGGAAGGGGGAAUUCCCGGUGUAGAGGUGAAAUUCGUAUAGAUCGGGAGUAAAACCAGUGGCGAAGGCGCCCUUCUGGACGGUUACUGACGCUGAGACUCGAAAGCGUGGUGAGCAAAAAG
rnacentral:rRNA from 1 species